UCACUACUGCUUCCAUCAUCUUUUUCCGGUGCUGUAAAAACCACAACUCAGAUUGAGUGAAACGUAGUAAUUAUAUAUAUAUAAGCACUAGAUAGCAUCCAACAGGUGUCGAGGAAAUAUCAUGCUUGUCGAAUUACAAAC